AAGAAUGCGAUAUGCAAUGUGAAUUGCAGAACCAUGAAUCAUUGGAUCUUUGAACGCAACUGGCGCUGGUUAUACCAGCAUACUUGCUUCAGUGUGCUUAAACACACAAACCAUAAAAAUGUGAGGGAACUUCUCUCAUGAAAUAAAUGCUCUCUGCAGCUGUCACAUUCAUUUGUGAGCUAAAGAUGAGACUUUCGCCUUAUUCGCACCUGAAGUCAAGUAAGACGACCCGCUGGACUUAA
rnacentral:misc_RNA from 1 species